rnacentral:rRNA from 1 species
GACGUAGGGCGCGAGCGUUGUCCGGAUUUAUUGGGCGUAAAGAGCUCGUAGGCGGCUCGUUGCGUCGGCUGUGAAAACCCGCGGCUCAACUGUGGGCUUGCAGCUGAUACGGGCGGGCUGGAGUUCGGUAGGGGAGACUGGAAUUCCUGGUGUAGCGGUGAAAUGCGCAGAGUAUCGAGGGAGGAACACCCGGUGGGCGA